CACGUAGGGUGCGAGCGUUGUCCGGAAUUAUUGGGCGUAAAGAGCUCGUAGGCGGUGUGUCGCGUCGAUCGUGAAAACUUGGGGCUUAACCCUGAGCUUGCGGUCGAUACGGGCAUCACUUGAGUUCGGCAGGGGAGACUGGAAUUCCUGGUGUAGCGGUGAAAUGCGCAGGUAUCAGGAGGAACACCGGUGGCGAAGGCGGGUCUCUGGGCCGAUACUGACGCUGAGGAGCGAAAGCGUGGGGAGCGAACAGG
rnacentral:rRNA from 1 species